CAUCCAAAUGAAUCUCCACAGAUGUCAGGACAGGCAACUUUUCAAUCCUCACAGAAUGGUGGACAAUAUUCCUACGGGUCACCUUCAGUGGUCAGAAACCAUCCUGUAGGAUCCUCACCAGAUGCACCUUUUCAAUCGUCACAGAAUGGUGGACAAUAUUCUUACGGAUCACCUUCAGUGGUCAGAAACCACCCUGUAGGAUCCUCACCAAAUGCACCUUUCCAAUCCUCACAGAAUGGUGGACAAUAUUCUUACGGAUCACCUUCAGUGGUCAGAAACCAUCCUGUAGGAUCCUUACCAAAUGGAGGACAAUAUUCUAAUGGAUCACCUUCAGUGGUCAGACACCAUCCUGUAGGAUCCUCUCAGAUGGCUGGACAACAACAAGGGGAAGACAACCAGCAGCAGGUAACAGCUUGAAUCCUUGAUAUGAAAUCCUCUCUGCUCAUUGUUUUAAUUUUUGUUUGGACAGAAAAUUCUAGAUCAUUGUUGUUGCUGAGUAGAUAUUGCUCAUUGAGGGGAAGUUAUACCUCCCCUAUUUGUACCAAAUCCUUAGACAAGAC
rnacentral:lncRNA from 1 species